CUCUUUCUCUCUCACCCCGGACACAAAAGUGUUUCCAGUUUCAGACGGGGCGAGGUCCAGGGACAAGACAUCAGCUGUGUGACCAUGGAAACUCUGCAGCAGCUGCCCGCUCUCCACGUCCCACAAGGCACAUGUGCCGUCACCACUGGAGUCCAUACAGAGCACCUUGUUCCCAUGACCCUUCAGGACACGUUUGGUCUUUAUGGAGAGAGCCCCCAGCACCUCCGUCUUCUCAGCCACCUGGUGCACUGAGCUUGAGAUGUCUUGAAUGACACCACAGGAGCAGUUUGGAGGCAUUUUGUAUAGUUUUUCAACCUUUGAAGAGGUCACCAUUUUGUUCAAUGGUAUUGGAUUUGUCUGCAACACUGUUUACCCCGGAGAUGCCGGAAGUGUCUUGUGGACUCAACCACUUCACCCACCCCUCCGGUGAGUAGAUAAUGAGUGAAUAUUCAUUUUUGGGUGAACUAUCCCUUUAACUAGUGACAUUGAAAUGACAGGAACAUGUAUUGACUUAGUGUUUGAUUGGAG